AGAAGCUUCAAUCAGAACAGAUCUGUUGAUCUUUCAUCAUCCUCAUCUGCGACUUCCCAGAUUCAAUCAUCCUCAUCAUUCACAGAUUUGAUUCUGAUGACUCCGCGCAACACCAUAUGCUUAAGAAAUCCUUUCACCGAUCUGAUUCUGAAAUUGUAACUACUCUUUCAUCACAACAGAUCUGCGACUCACGGUAUAUGUCACAACAGAUCUGCGACUUCACGGUAUGUUAGCAAUCCGACGACUGAUUCCAGUUUGAAACCAUGUGUUAAAUCCGACGACUGAUUCCGAAUACGUGAUUGAAGACUCCGAUUAGCUUCGAUAUUACACAUCCCAGACAUGCCCUGCACAAAGAGCCUUAUAGCAGUUGUAUAGCCAAGAAGAAAAUAGGAUAUCGAGAGGAACUCAUGGAAGUUGGUCGCAUUGAGGUGAUCAUGAACAGCUUGAAUCCCAUGUGGAUUCAGAAAAUCAAUCUUGCAUUUCACUUUGAGAUUGUUCAGCCAUUGGUAUGCUGGACCUAAAAGAGCAAGAUUAUGUUGGUGAAGCUAACUGUGUUUUGUCAGAGGCAGCGUUUAAAGGGGGUUCGGGUGGCGGGUAUUCGAGAACAGGAGUUAAAGAUGAAGCUAGGAGAAGGUAUGCUCGCCGGCUGCGGCAGGAGUUAGAAGAAGAGAUGGAGAGAGUGGAGCGUAUAAGGCGUAUGCAAAGUGUGUUCAAUAGGGAGAAGAUUAAGCACAGAAGGGGAUUUGAGAGGUGGAGGGAUGAUAGUUAUUGGGAAUACCAUCAACAUUUUCAACGUGACGAUUGGUAUUGGAAAACCGAUUCAAGUUAUGGGAAUUGGAGUAAUUACAAGGGCACUACUCACACCCCUGCAAAUUAUUCUGUGUCUCAUCACUAUGCCGUAUUGGGUCUCGCCAAGUAGGUACAUCUUCCCUGUGGAAACAUUAAUAUAUAUGUUGUUGGUGUUGCUUGAUUAAUGUUGUUUUGAUUAGAUACUAGGACAAUACUCUAUCUAGUCAGAGAUAAAAGAGUCUUAUGCUGUGUAUAAUCUUCUAAGAUCAAUGACAUAAAUCUUCUUUUAAUGCCUCCUUCAUAAAACAGAGUUAGGCAAAAUAUUACCCUGUUUUAUUGAGAUAAAAGUUAUGCUAUCUAGUCGAAAAGCAUUAAUAGCUGGGGAGUAGUAUUGAUAUUCUAUAUCCACCGUAUAUCUGUUGGCUGAUUGAAUUCAGCACCUUCAUAAACACUUAAUAUAUACGUACCUGGUGUGGUUGUGACAUUAACUCGAGUCUUGGUGCUUCAAGUUGACAAAUUGUAAGAUUGAAAUUAAGAACUUAACCUCCUUGAAUAAAUGAGUUAUAAACAAUUAAAAAUUAACAUUUUAUGUGACUUGACCCAUUGAUGUACAUAAGUCAACACCUCUGGCUUCUUUCUUACGGACUGUGCACUUACUUACAUAGGGAUUAUUCUUCUGCCCAAAAACUACAAUUGAAUUUCACAUUAAGUAAAACCAUAAAACUUUGAAAAUUCAUAAUUUAAGUAAUUCUAAAGAACGAAAAGUCUAAAUUAUGUUAUUUAUGUUAGUUAUCUAAUUAUGUGAAUACUUUAGUUUAGAUUUUAGGCAUGAAGAGAAGUAUUUUUGUGGAUAGAUAUGAAGAGAUGGAGUUAUAUACUUUUCUUGAUUAUAUUUCUAGUGGGUUUGAACUCAACUUCAUGGUUGCUGUUGAUUUUACAGGUAAGUGUGCUUUAAUUAGUUAUGCUAAAAUGAAAAUAUCUACUAAUGGUUAAUUCUUGCAACCUCUAAUUCUCCACAGCUUCGAAUGAUCGAACGGUUGAACGUGAUUAUCCAAGAUAUAUUGAAUGAAAAAGAAGAAGAAAAAGAAAGGUUGAACGAUAUUAUUGCGGGAUUGGUGGUGGAGAAAGAGAAAAAUAAGGCGGAGAAAGAAGCUAUGAAUGAAAGGAUGGAAAACAUUGAAGCGAUGCUAAAAGCUAGGUUUCAAAACGUAUAAUCAACGACUUAGGUUUCAAAACGUAUAAACACUUUGUUUUGAAUAUGUAUUUUGUUACGAUAACUUUGGUAUUUGAUGUUUCAAGUAGGAUGUUUUAUAUAAUUGUGAAAAU